AGCCUCUCCAUACGUCCUGUGAGCCUUCACCAGCAACCUCUCAGCUCAGCUUCCUCUGCAGCCACCUCCCACCCGUGGAUCACCCACUUCUGACACCAGACACUGGACCGAAGAGCUACAUUUAAAAUUUUCCCUGACUGAUUUAUACCCUGCCUGCUUCCAGAAGGGAUGACAAUGAAACCGCAGGAACAAAGGAGGAAACCCGGAGCGAGUCCCUGUUUGAGACCACUGCACCUGGCCUUGUGGGCCAUCCAUCCAGAAGAGGAAUGCGUAUUGUGCCCCCUGGAAGAGGCGGGCACGAUCCCAAAUCAUGUCCGGAAGUGAAAGGGGAAGAGGAAGAGGUGAAAAGUGCUGAGUGUGGGCUUUGUAGCGAGGUUCCCUCUUUGGGGAGGGCCAGAGGAGGCUUUGGCUAAACUCCACCCACUUCUAAUCACUCUCUGAGCCUUAAGAACAAGCCCAGCAACUGGGGAGGUUGAGGCUGGAGGAUGGCAGAUCCAAGGCCAGCUUGGGCAACUGAGUGAAACCUGGUCUCAAAAAAUGGAAAGGAGGACUGUGGGUAGAACUCGGUUGGA